AUGAACGCUGGCGGCGUGCCUAAUACAUGCAAGUCGAGCGAACAGACGAGGAGCUUGCUCCUCUGACGUUAGCGGCGGACGGGUGAGUAACACGUGGAUAACCUACCUAUAAGACUGGGAUAACUUCGGGAAACCGGAGCUAAUACCGGAAAAUAUAUUGAACCGCAUGGUUCAAUAGUGAAAGACGGUUUUGCUUUCACUUAUAGAUGGAUCCGCGCCGCAUUAGCUAGUUGGUAAGGUAACGGCUUACCAAGGCAACGAUGCGUAGCCGACCUGAGAGGGUGAUCGGCCACACUGGAACUGAGACACGGUCCAGACUCCUACGGGAGGCAGCAGUAGGGAAUCUUCCGCAAUGGGCGAAAGCCUGACGGAGCAACGCCGCGUGAGUGAUGAAGGUCUUCGGAUCGUAAAACUCUGUUAUUAGGGAAGAACAAAUGUGUAAGUAACUAUGCACGUCUUGACGGUACCUAAUCAGAAAGCCACGGCUAACUACGUG
rnacentral:rRNA from 1 species